rnacentral:rRNA from 1 species
UGAGACAGGUGCUGCAUGGCUGUCGUCAGCUCGUGUUGUGAAAUGUUGGGUUAAGUCCCGCAACGAGCGCAACCCUUAUCCUUUGUUGCCAGCGGUCCGGCCGGGAACUCAAAGGAGACUGCCAGUGAUAAACUGGAGGAAGGUGGGGAUGACGUCAAGUCAUCAUGGCCCUUACGACCAGGGCUACACACGUGCUACAAUGGCAUAUACAAAGAGAAGCGACCUCGCGAGAGCAAGCGGACCUCAUAAAGUAUGUCGUAGUCCGGAUUGGAGUCUGCAACUCGACUCCAUGAAGUCGGAAUCGCUAGUAAUCGUAGAUCAGAAUGCUACGGUGAAUACGUUCCCGGGCCUUGUACACACCGCCCGUCACACCAUGGGAGUGGGUUGCAAAAGAAGUAGGUAGCUUAACCUUCGGGAGGGCGCUUACCACUUUGUGAUUCAUGACUGGGGUGAAGUCGUAACAAGGUAACCGUAGGGGAACCUGCGGUUGGAUCACCUCCUUACCUUAAAGAA